GGGACACGUGGUAUCCUGUCUGAAUAUGGGGGGACCAUCCUCCAAGGCUAAAUACUCCUGACUGACCGAUAGUGAACCAGUACCGUGAGGGAAAGGCGAAAAGAACCCCGGCGAGGGGAGUGAAAAAGAACCUGAAACCGUGUACGUACAAGCAGUGGGAGCACGCUUAGGCGUGUGACUGCGUACCUUUUGUAUAAUGGGUCAGCGACUUAUAUUCUGUAGCAAGGUUAACCGAAUAGGGGAGCCGAAGGGAAACCGAGUCUUAACUGGGCGUUAAGUUGCAGGGUAUAGACCCGAAACCCGGUGAUCUAGCCAUGGGCAGGUUGAAGGUUGGGUAACACUAACUGGAGGACCGAACCGACUAAUGUUGAAAAAUUAGCGGAUGACUUGUGGCUGGGGGUGAAAGGCCAAUCAAACCGGGAGAUAGCUGGUUCUCCCCGAAAGCUAUUUAGGUAGCGCCUCGUGAAUUCAUCUCCGGGGGUAGAGCACUGUUUCGGCAAGGGGGUCAUCCCGACUUACCAACCCGAUGCAAACUGCGAAUACCGGAGAAUGUUAUCACGGGAGACACACGGCGGGUGCUAACGUCCGUCGUGAAGAGGGAAACAACCCAGACCGCCAGCUAAGGUCCCAAAGUCAUGGUUAAGUGGGAAACGAUGUGGGAAGGCCCAGACAGCCAGGAUGUUGGCUUAGAAGCAGCCAUCAUUUAAAGAAAGCGUAAUAGCUCACUGGUCGAGUCGGCCUGCGCGGAAGAUGUAACGGGGCUAAACCAUGCACCGAAGCUGCGGCAGCGACGCUUAUGCGUUGUUGGGUAGGGGAGCGUUCUGUAAGCCUGUGAAGGUGUACUGUGAGGUAUGCUGGAGGUAUCAGAAGUGCGAAUGCUGACAUAAGUAACGAUAAAGCGGGUGAAAAGCCCGCUCGCCGGAAGACCAAGGGUUCCUGUCCAACGUUAAUCGGGGCAGGGUGAGUCGACCCCUAAGGCGAGGCCGAAAGGCGUAGUCGAUGGGAAACAGGUUAAUAUUCCUGUACUUGGUGUUACUGCGAAGGGGGGACGGAGAAGGCUAUGUUGGCCGGGCGACGGUUGUCCCGGUUUAAGCGUGUAGGCUGGUUUUCCAGGCAAAUCCGGAAAAUCAAGGCUGAGGCGUGAUGACGAGGCACUACGGUGCUGAAGCAACAAAUGCCCUGCUUCCAGGAAAAGCCUCUAAGCAUCAGGUAACAUCAAAUCGUACCCCAAACCGACACAGGUGGUCAGGUAGAGAAUACCAAGGCGCUUGAGAGAACUCGGGUGAAGGAACUAGGCAAAAUGGUGCCGUAACUUCGGGAGAAGGCACGCUGAUAUGUAGGUGAAGCGACUUGCUCGUGGAGCUGAAAUCAGUCGAAGAUACCAGCUGGCUGCAACUGUUUAUUAAAAACACAGCACUGUGCAAACACGAAAGUGGACGUAUACGGUGUGACGCCUGCCCGGUGCCGGAAGGUUAAUUGAUGGGGUUAGCGCAAGCGAAGCUCUUGAUCGAAGCCCCGGUAAACGGCGGCCGUAACUAUAACGGUCCUAAGGUAGCGAAAUUCCUUGUCGGGUAAGUUCCGACCUGCACGAAUGGCGUAAUGAUGGCCAGGCUGUCUCCACCCGAGACUCAGUGAAAUUGAACUCGCUGUGAAGAUGCAGUGUACCCGCGGCAAGACGGAAAGACCCCGUGAACCUUUACUAUAGCUUGACACUGAACAUUGAGCCUUGAUGUGUAGGAUAGGUGGGAGGCUUUGAAGUGUGGACGCCAGUCUGCAUGGAGCCGACCUUGAAAUACCACCCUUUAAUGUUUGAUGUUCUAACGUUGACCCGU
rnacentral:rRNA from 1 species